CAUAAUGUCGCAAGACCAAAGAGGGGGACCUUCGGGCCUCUUGCCAUCGGAUGUGCCCAGAUGGGAUUAGCUUGUUGGUGGGGUAACGGCUCACCAAGGCGACGAUCCCUAGCUGGUCUGAGAGGAUGACCAGCCACACUGGAACUGAGACACGGUCCAGACUCCUACGGGAGGCAGCAGUGGGGAAUAUUGCACAAUGGGCGCAAGCCUGAUGCAGCCAUGCCGCGUGUAUGAAGAAGGCCUUCGGGUUGUAAAGUACUUUCAGCGGGGAGGAAGGGAGUAAAGUUAAUACCUUUGCUCAUUGACGUUAUCCGCAGAAGAAGCACCGGCUAACUCCGUGCCAGCAGCCGCGGUAAUACGGAGGGUGCAAGCGUUAAUCGGAAUUACUGGGCGUAAAGCGCACGCAGGCGGUUUGUUAAGUCAGAUGUGAAAUCCCCGGGCUCAACCUGGGAACUGCAUCUGAUACUGGCAAGCUUGAGUCUCGUAGAGGGGGGUAGAAUUCCAGGUGUAGCGGUGAAAUGCGUAGAGAUCUGGAGGAAUACCGGUGGCGAAGGCGGCCCCCUGGACGAAGACUGACGCUCAGGUGCGAAAGCGUGGGGAGCAAACAGGAUUAGAUACCC
rnacentral:rRNA from 1 species